rnacentral:rRNA from 1 species
AGAGUUUGAUCCUGGCUCAGGACGAACGCUGGCGGCGUGCUUAACACAUGCAAGUCAAGGGGGCCCAGCAAUGGGCAACCGGCGAACGGGUGCGUAACACGUGAGCAACCUACCGAACUGUGGGGGAUAGCCGGCCUAACGGCCGAGUAAUACCGCAUACGCUCUCAGUGAGGCAUUUCAUUGAGAGGAAACCUACGGGACAGAUCGAGGGGCUCGCGGCCUAUCAGCUAGUUGGCGAGGUAACGGCUCACCAAGGCAACGACGGGUAGCUGGUCUGAGAGGAUGGCCAGCCACAUUGGGACUGAGAUACGGCCCAGACUCCUACGGGAGGCAGCAGUGGGGAAUCUUGCGCAAUGGCCUAACGGCUGACGCAGCGACGCCGCGUGUGGGAUGAAGCUCUUCGGAGUGUAAACCACUGUUGCCCGGGACGAAUAGCUCGAUUAAUCGAGCCUGACAGUACCGGGUGAGGAAGCACCGGCUAACUCCGUGCCAGCAGCCGCGGUAAUACGGAGGGUGCAAGCGUUAUCCGGAUUCACUGGGUUUAAAGGGUGCGUAGGUGGGCAGUUAAGUCAGUGGUGAAAUCUCCGGGCUCAACCCGGAAACUGCCAUUGAUACUAUCUGUCUUGAAUAUCGUGGAGGUAAGCGGAAUAUGUCAUGUAGCGGUGAAAUGCUUAGAUAUGACAUAGAACACCAAUUGCGAAGGCAGCUUACUACCCGAAUAUUGACACUGAGGCACGAAAGCGUGGGGAUCAAACAGGAUUAGAUACCCUGGUAGUCC